GCGUAGAGCAUCCGCCGGUACACCCUUCUGGCUAAUUGGGCAAGCUCGUGAGCUAUACGGUUGCACUAAAUCAAACCUAUUACCACAAACCUAUUACCACUCACAAGCAACGACCUCACGUCCUUCAGAAUGUGUCCAAUGCACAAGCUAUCCCGACGACCACUCUUCAAUCAGACCCCGAGCAAUCCGAUUCCAUGAUUAGCGGCAUAGAGAUCCUCCCUUGCUAGUUGGCACUUGGCAGCCAAUGCGGCACGCCGUAGGCUCCACUUCAUCCGCCGACGCACAGUGCUCCACAGGCCUCCAUGCCGAGAGCAGAACUUCCCCUCUGCAGUGUUGAUUAUGCAGCCAGCCGACGACAGCCGGGAUAGCAGAACUUCCCCGUUUAGCAACAUCAGCCUAAAUACUCCUGCAUUAGAUUAAUCCAAUCAUGCAGAGGUGGCCUGGAUGAGUGGAUGACCCACGUGACAUCAACUGAUUCUCGAGACGCUGUCCAGAGAUGGCAAUAUCUGUGGUUGAUACUGCUUGUGCACGCCAAAACCUUUGGUUGAGCUUCUUCAAUGUUA
rnacentral:lncRNA from 1 species